GAGUUCAAGAGUACGUGAAACUGCUCGGAGGCAAACGGGUGGGCCCUCGAAAUCCUCUUGCGGAGGGAUUCAGUCGGGAGCCGUCGGGGCGGAUCCGGUCGCGGACCCCACGCGGGGACGCGCCGGGGACGCCGUCUCGCCGGAGCCCGACGCACUUCCCCCCGCACCACGGACGCCGCAACCGAUCGGGUAGCAGCGAGAGUCGGCCUUGGGGCGGCUACUCCGUUUUGGCGGCGCGGGUCCCGGCCUCGGCCGGACCCGCCCGCUGGGAGACCGCGCGUGGCGCGACACCCGAUCGUGGUCGAAGUCCCCCCCAGGGGGGACCGCCGUCUCCUUCUCCAGGGACGUGGCACCGGGGCCAGUGUGCGCCGUCGCGGCCGUUACCACCCGAGCGGUGGCCGGUCCUUCGGAGGCCGCCGUUGGGUCCCGGCGCGCCACGGAGAGAGGUGUCCAGCGGUUGGCGGCGAGCAGGUCGGUCACCCACCCGACCCGUCUUGAAACACGGACCAAGGAGUCUAACAUGUGCGCGAGUCGCAGGGUCUUGGACAGGCCCUCGGGCGCAAUGAAAGUGGAGGUCCUCGGACCGAGUCGGGACUCCCCGGAGACGGGGAAGCACCGACGGCCCGUUCCUCGCGAUUCGUCGCCGGAGCGGAGUUCGAGCGCACACGUUGGGACCCGAAAGAUGGUGAACUAUGCCUGGGCAGAACGAAGCCAGAGGAAACUCUGGUGGAGGUUCGUAGCGGUUCUGACGUGCAAAUCGAUCGUCAGACCCGGG
rnacentral:rRNA from 1 species